AUGCUUAACACAUGCAAGUCGAACGGUAACAGGCCUUCGGGCGCUGACGAGUGGCGGACGGGUGAGUAACGCGUAGGAAUCUGCCUUAUAGUGGGGGACAACGUGGGGAAACCCACGCUAAUACCGCAUACGCCCUACGGGGGAAAGCGGGGGAUCGUAAGACCUCGCGCUAUGAGAUGAGCCUGCGUUAGAUUAGCUAGUUGGUAGGGUAGAGGCCUACCAAGGCGACGAUCUAUAGCUGGUCUGAGAGGACGAUCAGCCACACUGGGACUGAGACACGGCCCAGACUCCUACGGGAGGCAGCAGUGGGGAAUAUUGGACAAUGGGCGCAAGCCUGAUCCAGCAAUACCGCGUGUGUGAAGAAGGCCUUAGGGUUGUAAAGCACUUUCAAUGGGGAGGAAAACCUGCCGGUCAAUACCCGGUAGCUUGACAUUACCUAUAGAAGAAGCACCGGCUAACUCCGUGCCAGCAGCCGCGGUAAUACGGAGGGUGCGAGCGUUAAUCGGAAUUACUGGGCGUAAAGCGUGCGUAGGCGGCUCGUUAAGUCAGAUGUGAAAGCCCUGGGCUCAACCUGGGAACUGCAUUUGAAACUGGCGAGCUAGAGUUGAGUAGAGGGGAGUGGAAUUUCAGGUGUAGCGGUGAAAUGCGUAGAUAUCUGAAGGAACACCAGUGG
rnacentral:rRNA from 1 species